rnacentral:rRNA from 1 species
GACGAACGCUGGCGGCGUGCUUAACACAUGCAAGUCGAACGGAAAGGCCCUGCUUUUGUGGGGUGCUCGAGUGGCGAACGGGUGAGUAACACGUGAGUAACCUGCCCUUGACUUUGGGAUAACUUCAGGAAACUGGGGCUAAUACCGGAUAGGAGCUCCUGCUGCAUGGUGGGGGUUGGAAAGUUUCGGCGUUUGGGGAUGGACUCGCGGCUUAUCAGCUUGUUGGUGGGGUAGUGGCUUACCAAGGCUUUGACGGGUAGCCGGCCUGAGAGGGUGACCGGCCACAUUGGGACUGAGAUACGGACCAGACUCCUACGGGAGGCAGCAGUGGGGAAUAUUGCACAAUGGGCGGAAGCCUGAUGCAGCAACGCCGCGUGCGGGAUGACGGCCUUCGGGUUGUAAACCGCUUUCGCCUGUGACGAAGCGUGAGUGACGGUAAUGGGUAAAGAAGCACCGGCUAACUACGUG